GUCUUUUUGUUUAAUAUUUAAAGUCUAACCUGCCCAAUGAUUAUUUUAAUGGCUGCGGUAUUUUGACCGUACAAAGGUAGCAUAAUCAUUAGUUUUUUAAUUGAAAACUUGUAUGAAUGGUUGAACGAGAAAAUUACUGUCUCAAUUUAAAUUUAUUAGAAUUUUAUUUUUAAGUUAAAAAGCUUAAAUUUAAUUAAAAGACGAGAAGACCCUAUAGAGUUUAAUAUUUAUUGAAAAUAAUUUUUAAGAAUUUUAUAAUUUUUUUUAAGUAUUUUGUUGGGGUGAUAAAUAAAUUUAAUUAACUUUAUUAUUUUAAAAUCAUUAAUUUAUGAUUAAUUGAUCCAAAUUUUUUGAUUAAAAGAUUAAAUUACCUUAGGGAUAACAGCGUAAUUUUUUUUGAGAGUUCUUAUCGAAAAAAAAGAUUGCGACCUCGAUGUUGGAUUAAAAUUAAUUUUUGGUGUAGAAGCUAAUAUAUUAAGUCUGUUCGACUUUUAAUUUUUUACAUGAUCUGAGUUUAAAUCGGCGUGAGCCAGAUUGGUUUCUAUCUUUAUUAAAUUAAAAUAUUUUAGUACGAAAGGACCAAAUAUUUAUAAAAUUUAUUUUAUUUUGAAUAU
rnacentral:rRNA from 1 species